UACAGAGGGGGCAAGCGUUGUUCGGAAUUACUGGGCGUAAAGGGCGCGUAGGCGGCCCGCUAAGUCGAACGUGAAAUCCCUGGGCUCAACCCGGGAACUGCGUCCGAUACUGGCAGGCUUGAAUCCGGGAGAGGGAUGUGGAAUUCCAGGUGUAGCGGUGAAAUGCGUAGAUAUCAGGAAGAACACCGGUGGCGAAGGCGGGUCUCUGGGCAGUAACUGACGCUGAGGAGCGAAAGCGUGGGGAGCGAACAGG
rnacentral:rRNA from 1 species